CUGAAUAUGCGUACAAGCGCUGCUACCGGAAGCCCAGGUUUUAAACCGUUCUUCGCGCUUUAGCGAGCCAGGGCGCGAGGUGGAGGCUGCUGAGAUUGGUGUGAGAGUGUGCCAGUUUCUUUUCUAAGUUCCUUCACAACAACGUCGCCUCGCGUCCCGCGUGGCCUUCAGGUUAUAUCUGAGGUUUUUGGGCUAUGCAGAUUGCAGCGCUACUUUCAAGGAGCCUAAGGACGCCCUGUUUUGUCCUUCUACGCCCGUGUGCUACCCAACAGUUUGGAUUUGAGAGCUUUUGUGUUGCAGUUGUACACUGGUGAAAAUCACUUUUAAAGUGUCGGAUUGGCUUCCUCUGUCAAGACUGGGUGUUUAUGGGGACUCUUUUGUGCGGGAAUGUGUAUGUAUUGGGAGAUGUGUGAUAACGCCGUCAGAUCUUCCGGACUUGGAAAGGCAAGCCAAAACAAUAAAGCCAAUCACAGACCUGUGUGGUGCAGAAAAGGUAUAGGAUUCACAUGCAGGACGGGACUCGUGAUUGAAUAUAGAAAAAGUAACAUCUUUAAGAUGUAAAUGCAAGCAAGUUUACUAACCGUGGGUGGAAAACCCUGAAGCGCGUUCUAGAAAGAAAUACCGCCGGGUCAAGGGCCGAGCGGAAGUGGGUGGUAUGCUGGGAGAACAAUGUGUGGAGAGUAGUCAACUGGAAAGGAAAAGAGAAACCCAAGAAAAGUUUGAUAAGUUCAAUGGGAAGGAAUUUGUGCAUAUUAACAAAAGAAACGUUGUAGCUGGUUUUUAUUGUACAGUUCAGUGCACUUACAUUGUUAAGUAGCCACUCUUCUGCUUUCUUUUUGUCAUACAAAAAAUGCACCUGUUAAUUUGUAAUUCCUCUUUACCUUUAGCUCUGAUUACCACCAUUCUGCUUUCUAUGGAUUAAAAUACUGAGAGUAUUUUGAAAGUGGAG
rnacentral:lncRNA from 1 species